GGUUCCCCCUUCAAUUGUCACUGAUUCUUCUUCUGGUUGGUUUUGUUUCGUAGGAACAGAAUAGAUGAUGAAUGCCAUGGAGGAAUGGAAACCUUUAUUGUUUGGAUUUUGAGGUGAUCUCAUCUUAUCUUUCUCAUUAUUAUCUAAUUUCAGAUCUGGUUAUUUUGUUUGGUUUUAUCUCACAGGGGUUGCUGCUGGAGAGGAGGAAGCCAUGAGAUAGCAAACCCCCUAGAUCUAGCUACUUUCACAUUUUGAAAAGGCACUUUGUUCAAAUUUAUGUCCUGAUGUUCACCAUUAAGCCCAUGGCAGACCACCACUCAGUUUUAUCGAUUUGAUAGGUACACUGCUCAGUUCCGUGAACUGAGCGGUGCAAAGGCAGGCCACCCUCAGUUCCUAAAACUGAGGGGUGCAAAGCUAUGUGCUUAAUGGCGAAUGUCUCACGUAAUGGAACCGAGCAUCUUCGGGACAUACUGUGAGCUUCUCUUUCUCUCCGUUUAUUUUUUAUUUGUCGUUUUUCUUUCUUAUUUAGUUAUUUUAUUGGAAACACUGUUGGAAGUUUGGUACACAGCAAGGCAGUGAUGCUCCCUAUGUAGUUCAGCUACAACUACUGGAACAUAGCCAAGUCUGCUUCUUUGGUAAAGUUUCACCGAAAUCAACCCUGUUUAGCAUUUGUUAUAUUGCUGACUAAAUUAUUGCUACUUAGCUUUAUUCUUUCUUUCAUAAUCAAAUCUUGUGUUUAAUAUGUUUGAGAAAGAAGAAAACAAGUAACAUGUCAAAUCAAAAGGUGCACAUUCUUAACACUCUCAACAUAUACUUAAUUUGCCCUUAUAUUUCUAGAACGGUGGAGUUUCUUUUUUGCUUGUUACAUGUCUAUCAUUUUGUUCCUUUGAGGUAUUGUGGUACACAUUCCUAACUCUCUCAAUGUAUACUUAAUUUGCCCUUAUAUUUCUAGAAAGCCAGAGUUUCUUUUUUUGCUUGUUACAGAUCUAGCUUUCUGCCCAAUUUUUUUGGUGAGUGUCAGGUUAAUACAUUUUUGCCUUUACAUAGACAUUUAGUAGUUAUUAUUUCGUGGAUAAACAAUUGCAGGAAAAACAAAGGAAGGUCUCUUGAGGCAGUUUUUUGUUUCAAAUAAAAAAGGUAAUCAUCUGUCAUUAACUCUAUGCUUACCAUAUUCUGCAUUGCUUUCUUUCUAACUUGAUUUUCGGAGUAUCUUUUAUUGUUUUUGCAGGUCUUUCCCUUAAUUAUUCAUAGCUCUAACUUUAUGUUUAUUAUGUAUUGCAUAAAAUUGUUUCUAACUUGAGUGUCGGAGUUUUUCUGUUUUUUGUUUUUUGCAGGUCUUGCCUUUGUAUUCCUAACUGUAACUCCAUGUUUAUUAACCUUAACUCUACAUUUAUAAUGUUUUGCAUAAAGUUGUUUCUAACUUGAGCACCGGAGUAUCUUCUUUGUUUUUUGCAGGUCUUGCCAUUGCAUUCCUAACUCUAACUCUAUGUUUAUUAACCCUAACUCUAUGUUUAUUAUGUUUUGCAUAAAAUUGUUUCUAACUUGAGCUCCGGAGUAUCUUUUUUGUUUUUUGCAGGUUCUGCAUUUGUAUUCCUAACUAGAUAACUCUACGCUUAUUAACUCUACGUCUAUUAUGUUUUGCACAAAAUUGUUUCUAACUUGAGCGUCGGAGGAUCUUUUUUGUUUUUUGCAGGUCUUGCCUAUGUAUCUCAAUUCAAGUAGCAGAGUUGUUGAAACGGAAUGCUGGUGCCUUGUGGGGAACGUCAUCUGUUUGGAUUUUGAUCAGUUUGCCUCUAGGGUAGUGCCUGCUUAUUUGGAGGCCACUCAUUAGGCUGGUGCCUGGUGGAGAAUGCUUGUCAUUUGACCAGUCUGUUGCAAGUUACGUUCAGACCAAAGUAACUCAUUUUGAGCUUGCUUAUUUGGAUUUCCUUGUAUGUUUUUCCUUAGUGACCUUGGAUUUGAGAUGAAGAGGCAUUUGGGUAGGGUGAAGGUGAAGAUAAUGUGAUGAAGUCACUGUCCUCCUUUAAUUAGCUGUCACUAGAUGUAGAGGGCUUUUUACGCCAAAGAUGUGCCAGGAGAUUUAGUAGGAUGUGAAAAGUGCAAUGAUGCGGUGACACUUGAUAAGCCAAGCCUGGUGGUCCAUUGAGAGAUGAAUUGGUGGCUCCAGAGGAUCUUUGCCUUGCGUAUAUAUUGUUUCUGAUAAAGCUCCUAGCAAUAUUGUGAGUAGGCAGGGUAGUGUAUUAUCCGCUACGAAUUCUAUUGUGGUUCAUGUGAAGCUGACAUAAUGCCUUCCUGCUGCAACCUCCUUGACUCCAAAAUUCUGACCGAGGGUGAUGUUGUGGGGGAGAAUAGGCAGUCUAUAUCUUCUAUAAUAGGUCUUUCUUGACGGAAGUCAUUAAUUCUUCCGGACCUUCUUGGGAGACAGAUGUAGACAUUCUUGAUUUAUAGAAUCCCUCCCCAACCUGCACAGACUUUGAUCCGUUAAUUGUCCAUUCCCUGAACACCUAAUAGUAAAUACAAAGUCCAGGGAUCACUUUUGUAUUCAUUAGAAAAUUUUCAGACAUUGGGUACUGC